GACGAACGCUGGCGGCGUGCUUAACACAUGCAAGUCGAACGGAAAGGCCCCUUUGGGGGUCCUCGAGUGGCGAACGGGUGAGUAACACGUGAGUAACCUGCCCUUGACUUCGGGAUAACUUCAGGAAACUGGGGCUAAUACCGGAUAGGAAUCCUUGCUGCAUGGUGGGGGUUGGAAAGCUUCGGCGGUUUUGGAUGGACUCGCGGCUUAUCAGCUUGUUGGUGGGGUAGUGGCUUACCAAGGCUUUGACGGGUAGCCGGCCUGAGAGGGCGACCGGCCACAUUGGGACUGAGAUACGGCCCAGACUCCUACGGGAGGCAGCAGUGGGGAAUAUUGCACAAUGGGCGGAAGCCCGAUGCAGCAACGCCGCGGGCGGGAUGACGGCCUUCGGGUUGGAAACCGCUUUCAGCAGGGGCGAAGCUUGUGGUGACGGUACCUGCAGAAGAAGCACCGGCUAACUACGUG
rnacentral:rRNA from 1 species